GACAGAGGUGCCGAGCGUUAGGCGGAAUCACUGGGCUUAAAGCGUGUGUAGGCGGAAGCGUAAGUGCCUUGUGAAAUCCCACGGCUCAACCGUGGAACUGCUGGGCAUACUGCGUUUCUUGAGCCAAUCAGGGGUCGUCGGAACAAACGGUGGAGCGGUGAAAUGCGUAGAUAUCGGCAGGAACACCCAGGGGGAAACCAGCCGACUGGGCAUGUGCUGACGCUGAGGUGCGAGAGCGUGGGGAGCGAACCGG
rnacentral:rRNA from 1 species